UCGGUGGCUUACUUUUUGCACAAAUAUCACUUUUUCCACGAUUUUAUCCCUAUUUCUUCAUCUUCAAAGACCAAGGAAACCCUAAUAUACUCUCCAAACAAAUCCUUCAUGAAUCCUAACCAAUUCAAAUGCAAAUCAAUCAACUCUAACGCAAGGAACAACGUGGCAAUCAUAGAAUCGUGAUUUUCUCGCCAUUUCGCUUCUCGGAAGAAUUUUUCGACUUGAAGUAAUCUUUGUUUUGGAGUGUUAUUCAUCAAUUUAGGUUAUCGUUUGUAAGGAAUUCAAGGACUCGUGAAACGUGGAAAACUUCGUCGUUAAGGUAGACGGAUUGGUGUAUCUUUCUCAGUAGGGUACUAGAGUUCAGCAGCGAUGUUCGCACUCGAUUCUCCGGAGUUGCUGGUCAGAGUCAUCAAAUAGGACGCAUGCAUGUAUAUACAUAUAUUUAGAUGGGGUUGGGUAUGGCAGGGCCCUAUCCCGACCAGUUGUUGCAUUUUAGUACUCUUAGAGGCUUACAGACUAUCAUUUAGUGUUGAUGUGUCUUGUUGGCCUUGUCAGCCUCAGUUAUGCAUAUAUAUGUUAUUGGGCCUUUUCUGCUUGCAGGUUGUCAUGAUAUACUUCUUACAGUUGUUAUUUAGUGGUCUUGUCGGCCUAUGAUUUAUGUUACCGAGUUUAGAUAUCACAAUUGGUUCGCUCGGUCCUUCGGGUGCCGGGUGCAAGCCACAUCCCGCAAGGUUGGAGUGUGAC